UACGUAGGGUGCGAGCGUUGUCCGGAAUUAUUGGGCGUAAAGGGCUCGUAGGCGGUUUGUCGCGUCGGGAGUGAAAACUCAGGGCUUAACCCUGAGCCUGCUUCCGAUACGGGCAGACUAGAGGUAUGCAGGGGAGAAUGGAAUUCCUGGUGUAGCGGUGAAAUGCGCAGAUAUCAGGAGGAACACCGGUGGCGAAGGCGGAUCUCUGGGCCGGAACUGACGCUGAGGAGCGAAAGCGUGGGGAGCGAACAGG
rnacentral:rRNA from 1 species